rnacentral:rRNA from 1 species
GAUGAACGCUGGCGGCGUGCCUAAUACAUGCAAGUCGAACGGGGAGUAGCAAUACUCUUAGUGGCGAACGGGUGAGUAACGCGUUGGUACCUGCCCCGAAGCGGGGGAUAACGGACCGAAAGGUCCGCUAAUACCCCAUGUGCUCGGUAACGAGUAAAGGUGAAAACCACUUUGGGAGGGGCCUGCGUCCCAUCAGCUAGUUGGUAAGGUAACGGCUUACCAAGGCGAUGACGGGUAGGGGACCUGAGAGGGUGGCCCCCCACAAUGGAACUGAAACACGGUCCAUACACCUACGGGUGGCAGCAGUAGGGAAUAUUGGUAAUGGGCGCAAGCCUGAACCAGCAACGCCGCGUGUGAGAUGACGGCCUUCGGGUUGUAAAGCACUUUUGACUGGGACGAGGAAGGACGGUACCGGUCGAAUCAGCCUCGGCUAACUACGUG